rnacentral:rRNA from 1 species
UACGGGGGGGGCAAGCGUUGUUCGGAAUUACUGGGCGUAAAGGGCUCGUAGGUGGCCAACUAAGUCAGACGUGAAAUCCCUCAGCUUAACUGGGGAACUGCGUCUGAUACUGGAUGGCUUGAGAUUGGGAGAGGGAUGCGGAAUUCCAGGUGUAGCGGUGAAAUGCGUAGAUAUCUGGAGGAACACCGGUGGCGAAGGCGGCAUCCUGGCCUGUUCUUGACGCUGAGGCGCGAAAGCUAGGGGAGCAAACGGG